CCUACGGGGGGCAGCAGUGAGGAAUAUUGGUCAAUGGGCGAGAGCCUGAACCAGCCAAGUCGCGUGAGGGAGUACUGCCCUAUGGGUUGUAAACCUCUUUUGUCGGGGAGCAAAAGCCGGACGUGUCCGGCUGUGAGAGUACCCGAAGAAAAAGCAUCGGCUAACUCCGUGCCAGCAGCCGCGGUAAUACGGGGGAUGCGAGCGUUAUCCGGAUUUAUUGGGUUUAAAGGGUGCGCAGGCGGAUUUUUAAGUCAGCGGUAAAAUCGUGGGGCUCAACCCCAUCCAGCCGUUGAAACUGGGGAUCUAGAGUGUGCGAGAGGUAUGCGGAAUGCGUGGUGUAGCGGUGAAAUGCAUAGAUAUCACGCAGAACCCUGAUUGCGAAGGCAGCAUACCGGUGCACAACUGACGCUCAGGCACGAAAGCGUGGGUAUCGAACAGGAUUAGAUACCCCAGUAGUC
rnacentral:rRNA from 1 species